NNNNNNNNNNNNNNNNNCCUGGCUCAGAAUGAACGUUGGCGGCGUGGAUUAGGCAUGCAAGUCGAGCGGAGUCAGCAAUGACCGAGCGGCGAAAGGGAGAGGAAAACUUAGGUACCUGCCUCUAGGACCGGGAUAGCCAAGGGAAACUUUGGGUAAUACCGGAUGUGGUCUCCGGAUCAAAGGUGUGAUUCCGCCUGGAGAGGGGCCUGAGUCCUAUCAGCUAGUUGGUGAGGUAAUGGCUCACCAAGGCGAAGACGGGUAGCAGGUGUGAGAGCACGACCUGCCUCACUGGGACUGAGAUACUGCCCAGACACCUACGGGUGGCUGCAGUCGAGAAUCUUUGGCAAUGGGGGCAACCCUGACCAAGCGACGCCGCGUGCGGGAUGAAGGCCUUCGGGUUGUAAACCGCUUUUCUAGGGGAUGAAGUGCCAGGGGGUUCUCCCCUUGGUUUGACAGAUCUUAGGAAUAAGCUCGGGCUAAGUUCGUGCCAGCAGCCGCGGUAAGACGAACCGAGCGAACGUUAUUCGGAAUUACUGGGCUUAAAGGGUGCGUAGGCGGCGUGGUAAGUGGGGUGUGAAAGCCCUCAGCUCAACUGAGGAACAGCGCUCCAAACUACCACGCUCGAGGGAGACAGAGGUCAGUGGAACUUCGGGUGGAGCGGUGAAAUGUGUUGAUAUCCGAAGGAACACCGGUGGCGAAAGCGACUGACUGGGUCUCUUCUGACGCUGAGGCACGAAAGCUAGGGUAGCGAACGGGAUUAGAUACCCCGGUAGUCCUAGCCUUAAACGAUGAGCACUGGAUCGAAGGGAUUCCCAUGUCCUUUUGGUCGCACUGAAAAAGUUAAGUGCUCCGCCUGGGGAGUAUGGCCGCAAGGCUGAAACUCAAAGGAAUUGACGGGGGCUCACACAAGCGGUGGAGGAUGUGGCUUAAUUCGAGGCUACGCGAAGAACCUUAUCCUAGUCUUGACAUGUACGGAUUAACUUGGUGAAAGCCAGGCCACGCUCGCAAGAGUGGAACGUGCACAGGUGCUGCAUGGCUGUCGUCAGCUCGUGUCGUGAGAUGUCGGGUUAAGUCCCUUAACGAGCGAAACCCUUGUCUUUAGUUACCAUCAUUCAGUUGGGGACUCUAAAGAGACUGCCGGCGUUAAGCCGGAGGAAGGUGGGGAUGACGUCAAGUCCUCAUGGCCUUUAUGACUAGGGCUGCACACGUCCUACAAUGGUUUGUACAGAGCGACGCAAACUCGUGAGAGCCAGCAAAUCGCAAAAAGCAAACCUCAGUACGGAUUGCAGGCUGCAACUCGCCUGCAUGAAGCUGGAAUCGCUAGUAAUCGGGGGUCAGCAUACCCCGGUGAAUGUGUUCCUGAGCCUUGUACACACCGCCCGUCAAGCCACGGGAGUGGGGGGNACCUAAAGCCGUGAUGCCAACCUUCGGGAGGCUAACGUCUAGGGUGAACUCCGCGACUGGGACUAAGUCGUAACAAGGUAGCCGUAGGGGAACCUGCGGCUGGANNNNNNNNNNN
rnacentral:rRNA from 1 species